UGGAUUUCACAUGGCUGUCUGCAUCUAAGC
rnacentral:piRNA from 1 species